AUGAGCUGGAAGAGGUUAAGUCUCAAAAUGGAGGGCCAUGAUCCAAAGGACUCAGAACAGUUGAGGAAGCCUUUUAUUGGUGAUCUGAGCUUUGAAACUACGGAUGAUAGCUUAAGAGAACAUUUUGAGGAAUGAGGCACACUCACUAAAGUUUGCAGUAAUGAGUGUCCCCAAACAAAACAUUCUAAGGGCUUUGGUUUUAUGACCUACUUUUGUGCUGAAGAGGUGGAUGGUGCAAUGUGUGCUCAGCCACACAUAAGGUUGAUGGGGAUGUGGGAGAACCAGAGAGCUGUUUCUAGAGAGGAUUCUGUAAAGCUGAGUAUCCAUUUAACAGUGAAGAAAAAAAUGCUGGUUAAUAGAUACAGAACAAAAUUUCAAAGAAGAAUCUUUCUUCUUUGAAACGUGUGGCAAGAUUGAAACUAUAGAGGUUAUGGAAGACAGGCAGAGUAGGAAAAAGAGGAUUUGCUUUUUUAACUUUUGAUGACUAUGAUAUGAUAGAUAAAAUUGUUGUUCAGAAACAUCACACUAUUUAAGGGCAGAACUAUGAAGUGAAAAAGGCCCUUUCU
rnacentral:lncRNA from 1 species